rnacentral:lncRNA from 1 species
AUUCUCAACUAGAAGACGAAGUUAAUUUCGAUGAAGCACACAACCAGUUCAGUACAAUUGAGAAGAAAAUUCUGUUUCUCUAACUGUGCCACAAUUCCAGCUUUGAUACAAGAUAAAGACUAACAGACGAACUUUGGGAAAAAUCCAUCACACUCCUGCCCAGGUCUGCAGCUUGGCAUGGGUCACCUCAGGAUGACUGAAAAAACCCUUCACAGCAGCUUCACUGCUCUGACCUCUGCUGUCCUGCUGCUAUUUAAAGGACAAUAUAUACCAUUGUUUGGAUUUUUCCAUCUUCAUAAAAGCUGAUAAGAAGAAUUAGUUCAGGAGGAUAUUGUGCACUUUUCCCAUUGAAAGGUUUGACGUGAG